rnacentral:rRNA from 1 species
UACGUAGGUGGCAAGCGUUAUCCGGAUUUACUGGGUGUAAAGGGCGCGUAGGCGGCUCCGCAAGUCAGAUGUGAAAUUCCCAGGCUUAACCUGGGCGCUGCAUCUGAAACUGCGGAACUUGAGUACUGGAGAGGAUAGUGGAAUUCCUAGUGUAGCGGUAAAAUGCGUAGAUAUUAGGAGGAACACCGGUGGCGAAGGCGACUAUCUGGACAGUAACUGACGCUGAGGCGCGAAAGCGUGGGGAGCAAACAGG